rnacentral:rRNA from 1 species
CGAAGUCCUUCGGGACAGGGGUGACAGGUGGUGCAUGGUUGUCGUCAGCUCGUGUCGUGAGAUGUUGGGUUAAGUCCCGCAACGAGCGCAACCCUUAUCAUUAGUUGCUACCAUUAAGUUGAGCACUCUACUGAGACUGCCCGGGUUAACCGGGAGGAAGGUGGGGAUGACGUCAAAUCAUCAUGCCCCUUAUCUCUAGGGCUACACACGUGCUACAAUGGUGAGUACAAAGAGAUGCAAGACCGCAAGGUGGAGCCAAACUCAAAAACUCAUCCCAGUUCGGAUUGUAGGCUGCAACUCGCCUACAUGAAGCCGGAGUUGCUAGUAAUCGCGAAUCAGCAUGUCGCGGUGAAUACGUUCCCGGGCCUUGUACACACCGCCCGUCACACCAUGAGAGUUGGUAACACCCGAAGUCCGUGAGGCAACCGUAAGGAGCCAGCGGCCGAAGGUGGGAUUGAUGAUUGGGGUGAAGUCGUAACAAGGUA